AAGCCUACUCUAGCCCAACCGCCCACUAACACUAACCCAUCUUCACCAACAAAACCAAAACAUUUUCCUCUAAACCUAGUAUAGGCGACAGAAAAGUUUCACAGGAGCAAUAGAGAUCACGUACCGUAAGGGAAAGAUGAAAUAAAAAUGAAAAUUCAAGCAUCAAACAGCAAAGACCAACCCUUGUACCUUUUGCAUCAUGACUUAGCAAGAAUCAACCAAGCAAAACGCCUAUUUAAGCUUGCCACCCCGAAACCCAAGCGAGCUACUUAUGAGCAGCUAUUUAAUGAGCAAACCCAUCUCUGUUGCAAAAGAGUGGGACGACUCAUCAGUAGAGGUGAAAAGCCUACCGAGCUGGGUGAUAGCUGGUUGCCUAUGAAAAGAAUCUAAGUUCUCCCUUAAUUCACCUCCAAAGACCCUUCUUAAUCUCACAUGAAGCGAAUCAAGAGGAAUUCAAAGGAGGUACAGCUCCUUUAAAAAAGAAUACACUCUCCCCUAGCGGAUAAGUCCACUCCCAUCAUCCUACUGUGGGCCUUCAAGCAGCCAUCACCAAAGAGUGCGUCAAAGCUCAACCCCAAAAAAAUUUUAACUCCUACCACGACUCCCUCCUCUCUAAUAGGUCAACUUACACUAAGUAAGAGAAUUAAUGCUAAGAUGAGUAACCAGGCCAACCCCUCCACGGCGUAAACUUACAUCACCACAUUAUUAACAAAUCCCAAGAUAUCAUCUAAACACCAACAAGCCAAAAUAUCACAAAACUUGUUAACCCACCUAAUGGAACGCCCCUAAGGAAAGAUUAAAAUCUGUAAAAGGAACUAGGCAAGCCCAAGGCCCGACUGUUUACCAAAAACAUAGCCUUCAGCAUUCCAAGUAUUGAAGGUGCAGCCUGCCCAGUGACAUCAUGUUCAACGGCCGCGGUAUCCUAACCGUGCAAAGGUAGCGCAAUCAAUUGUCCCAUAAAUCGGGACCUGUAUGAAAGGCUAAACGAGGUCUUAACUGUCUCUUACAGAUAAUCAGUGAAAUUGAUCUCCCCGUGCAAAAGCAGGGAUAACCCCAUAAGACAAGAAGACCCUGUGGAACUUUAAAAUCAGCAGCCACUCCCACAUCUUACCUUCCCCACUGGGAAUCACUCCCUUGGACUCCACUGGCCUGCAUUUUUCGGUUGGGGCGACCUUGGAGAAAAAUCAAACCUCCAAAACUAAGACCAUUUAUCUUAACCAAGAGCAACCUCUCAACGUACUAAUAGUAACCAGACCCAAUACAAUUGAUUAAUGGACCUAGCUACCCCAGGGAUAACAGCGCAAUCUCCCUUAAGAGCCCCCAUCGACAGGGAGGUUUACGACCUCGAUGUUGGAUCAGGACAUCCUAGUGGUGCAGCCGCUACUAAGGGUUCGUUUGUUCAACGAUUAACAGUCCUACGUGAUCUGAGUUCAGACCGGAGUAAUCCAGGUCGGUUUCUAUCUAUGAUCAACUCUUCCCAGUACGAAAGGACAGAAAGAGUAAGGCCCAUGCUCCAAGUACGCCUUCGUCUUAAGUAAUGAACUCAACUAAAUUACCAAGGACUUCCCACUUUCCCCUCCUAGAAAAGGACCG
rnacentral:rRNA from 1 species